GAUUCCCUUAGUAAUGGCGAAUGAACAGGGACAAGCUCAGCAUGGAAAUUGGGGCCUCUGGCCUUGAAUUGUAGUCUUGAGAUGUGCUGCCAACGGAGGCGCAGAUGUAAGCCUCUUGGAAAAGAGCAUCAGGGAGGGUGAGAGUCCCGUAUGUCAUCUGCAGUUCUCUGUGCACGGUGCAUUUUCUAAGAGUCACGUUCCUCGGGAUUGGAGCGCAAAUUGGGUGGUAAAUUUCAUCUAAAGCUAAAUAUUGGUUCGAGACCGAUAGCAAACAAGUACCAUGAGGGAAAGGUGAAAAGGACUUUGAAAAGAGAGUUAAAAGUGCCUGAAAUUGCUGAAAGGGAAGCGAAUGGAACCAGUUGUUCUUGGCGAGUAUUGGUGUUGUCUAAAGUGAUAGCUUGCCACUUCAACGCAAGUGUGGUGGCAUGUUUUGAACUGGAUGCGAUACUGCUUCUCGCCUUGCGUGUCAACGUCAGUUCUUAAUUGAGGAAAACUCUAGGGACAUGGUAAUUUGCUUCCGGGUGACUGAAUGUGCCUAGUUGAACUCAUUUUUGAACUGCUCCCUGUGUGUCUGGUAGCAGUGCUCUGUGUGCUAGCCUGCAACCUUGCAAGCUCUGCCUUGCAUUAGGAUUGCUGGUGCCUGGAGCAUGUCCUUGUCAUAAGUACGAUGACGAAAUGGUUUUAUUCGACCCGUCUUGAAACACGGACCAAGGAGUCUAACAUAUGUGCAAGUUCACGGGCGGGAAAACCUGCUUGCGCAAUGAAAGUGACUGCUGGGAUAUCUGCACCAGCAACCGACCAAUCAAUUGUGAGAGGUUUGAGUAUGAGCAUAUCUGUUAGGACCCGAAAGAUGGUGAACUAUGCUUGAGAAGGGUGAAGUCAGGGG
rnacentral:rRNA from 1 species